rnacentral:piRNA from 1 species
UAUGAAUGAAUGAAUGAAUGGGUGUGU